CAUGAAAGGAGGAAAAAGGCAGUCAUUUAACAAGAGCUGAUUGGGAAUGAGAGGAGGUAGGAGAUAGCAAGUGGCAGGAAGUUACAGCCCAGUGUUGCUUUAGACAGUAAUACAACACAUUCUUUACAUUGUUUUUGACUUCAAGCAAGUUUUCUUGUCUGUAUUUCACCAAUUUGUUUGCAACCAUGAAGCUGUAAGGUUACAUAUAGGAAAGCCAGACUGUGAAACAGCUUGACUUUCAGAAAUCAACCGUGGAGAGAUUAUGAAAAGUGGAUGUAAUGCAAAACUGAAAUAACACGAAAAAAGAACUCCUAAGAAACAAUGUGAAACCUGUGGUGCCAUUACCCAUGGUGGCUACACUGGAGCUGCAGCAGUUUGCCACAUGGAGGAUACAGCCCACAACUUUUAACUUGGCAUAUAAACUCCCCUCCAGGAAAGAAAUCAUGCAGGCAUUUCACAUAGUUUUGAGACAGUGAAUGCAGAUGGCACUGCUUUUUACCAAUGGCGAAGUGUCCAGAGCAGUCUGUGACAUGGAGGAUGCAGAUCUGAUGCCUCCCUCAGGUCAUAGGAGCUGUGGUUUGAACAUUCUGAAGCAAAGAAGAGCUCCCUGCUCAUGCGGCCUAGGAAGUAUUGAGAUGGAUCUGUUCUCAAGCCCUUGGCCUGAUGCUGCUUUGUUACGGAAGCUGGUCAUGUUCACCGCCAGGUUGGAAAGUCUUUCUGUCCCAGUAGCUGUCAAUGCAUUUUGAGCAGAGUAGGUUAAGCGUGAAUAAACAGAGGUCCUUCCUUCGAAUUUGCCUGCCCCAGUGGUAGGACACUGAUGCGACAGCAUCCUCAAGCACCUUGAAGGCAAAGCUGCAAGAGUCUGCCACUGGCAAUCCAUGCUCAAAGAGAAGUGGCAGAGAGAAUGAUGGGAGAUGAGAAGUAAAAAACACAUGUGAAAGGAAGAUAACAGUAAUCUAGCUUGAGUAUAUAUCCAAAAGUGCCAAACCUAUACACUGUCUUUAGCAGUCAAAGAACUUCCAUGUUUUAUUAAUAGACUCAAAACUUUUCCUCAUGGUAUUGUACUUACAGUGUAACUGAUGCCAAGCCAAUAAGAAC